GAUGAACGCUGGCGGCGUGCCUAAUACAUGCAAGUCGAGCGAACGGACGAGAAGCUCGCUCUCUUGCUGUUAGCGGCGGACGGGUGAGUAACACGUGGAUAACCUUCUUCUAUGUCUGGGAUAACUUCGGGAAAACGGUUAUACUACCGGCUCAUAUUUUCAACCGCUUGGAUCAACAGUGCUUGGCGGCUUUCCUGUCUCUAUUAGACGGUUCCGGGUUGAGUGAUCUAGUUGGUAAGGGAACGGCUUACCAAGGCAACGUUGCAUAGCGGACAUGAGAGGAUGAUCAGCCACACGGGAACUGAGACACGGUCCAGACUCCUACGGGAGGCAGCAGUGGGGAAUCUUCGGCAAUGGGCGAAAGCCUGACGGAGCAACGCCGCGUGGGUGAAGAAGGCCUUCGGGUCGUAAAGCCCUGUUGUUAGGAAAGAACAUAAGUAUGAGAAACUGUGGACGUCUUGACGGUACCUAAAGAGAAAGCCACGGCUAACUACGUG
rnacentral:rRNA from 1 species